rnacentral:rRNA from 1 species
CUGACUGCUAUCGGAUUGGUACUAAGCCAUGCGAGUCAUUGUAGCAAUACAAGGCGGACGGCUCAGUAACACGUAGUCAACCUAACUCGUGGACGUGGAUAACCUCGGGAAACUGAGAAUAAACCACGAUAGAUCACAGUGUCUGGAAUGGCUUAUGGUCCAAACAGUUUACUGCCAUGGGAUGGGACUGCGGCCUAUCAGCUUGUUGGUGAGGUAAUGGCCCACCAAGGCGAUUACAGGUACGGGCUCUGAGAGGAGAAGCCCGGAGAUGGGUACUGAGACACGGACCCAGGCCCUAUGGGGCGCAGCAGGCGAGAAACCUUAGCAAUGUGCGAAAGCACGACUGGGUCAGUCCGAGUGAUUCCUGAUAAAGGAGUCUUUUGCCUGUCCUAAAAGCACAGGUGAAUAAGGGGUGGGCAAGUCUGGUGUCAGCCGCCGCGGUAAUACCAGCACCUCGAGUGGUCAGGACGUUUAUUGGGCCUAAAGCAUCCGUAGCCGGCUCUGCAAGUCUUCGGUUAAAUCCACCUGCUCAACAGAUGGGCCGCUGGAGAUACUACAGAGCUAGGGAGUGGGAGAGGCAGACGGUAUUCAGUGGGUAGGGGUAAAAUCCUCUGAUCCAUUGAGGACCACCAGUGGCGAAGGCGGUCUGCCAGAACACGUUCGACGGUGAGGGAUGAAAGCUGGGGGAGCAAACCGGAUUAGAUACCCGGGUAGUCCCAGCUGUAAACGAUGCAAACUCGGUGAUGCAUUGGCUUAUGGCCAAUGCAGUGCCGCAGGGAAGCCGUUAAGUUUGCCGCCUGGGAAGUACGGACGCAAGUCUGAAACUUAA